CAUACAAUCCUAAUAGAAUCAAAUCACUGGCAAGUACCGUCUUCCUAUAACACUAUCACGGUAUUAAGGAUUUAUGCCACGAAGACAUCGAUAGACAAGAGUCGCCACCCGGAUAAAAACCGAGACAUAUUCAAUGUUUCUUCCGAGGGUCAUGGAUGACAACUUAUUCCUUGUAGAGUUUCCACAACUGUCAUUACCAUAGCCUAAUGUCUAGGUUGGGGAUAGUGGGUACGUAAGGGGAAUGUGUUAGACACCCCUCACAUCUGGUCUAACCUCGUUAAUUCGAG
rnacentral:misc_RNA from 1 species